rnacentral:rRNA from 1 species
AACGAACGCUGGCGGCAUGCCUAACACAUGCAAGUCGAACGAGACCUUCGGGUCUAGUGGCGCACGGGUGCGUAACGCGUGGGAACCUGCCCUUAGGUUCGGAAUAACUCCCCGAAAGGGGUGCUAAUACCGGAUAAUGUCUUUGGACCAAAGAUUUAUCGCCUUUGGAUGGGCCCGCGUUGGAUUAGCUAGUUGGUAGGGUAAAAUCCUACCAAGGCGACGAUCCAUAGCUGGUCUGAGAGGAUGAUCAGCCACACUGGGACUGAGACACGGCCCAGACUCCUACGGGAGGCAGCAGUGGGGAAUAUUGGACAAUGGGCGAAAGCCUGAUCCAGCAAUGCCGCGUGAGUGAUGAAGGCCUUAGGGUUGUAAAGCUCUUUUACCCGGGAUGAUAAUGACAGUACCGGGAGAAUAAGCUCCGGCUAACUCCGUG